UACGUAGGGGGCAAGCGUUGUCCGGAUUUACUGGGCGUAAAGGGCGCGUAGGCGGUCAGCACAAGUCAGUUGUGAAAUCUCCGGGCUUAACUCGGAAAGGUCAACUGAUACUGUGCGACUAGAGUGCGGAAGGGGCAACUGGAAUUCUCGGUGUAGCGGUGAAAAUGCGUAGAUAUCGAGAGGAACACCCUGCGGCGAAGG
rnacentral:rRNA from 1 species